GGAGUUGUGGCUCAGUGGUAGAGCGCCUGCCUAGUAUGCUUGAAGCACUAGGUUCAAUCCCCAGCACCA
rnacentral:tRNA from 1 species